UGGGGAAUUUUGGACAAUGGGCGAAAGCCUGAUCCAGCAAUGCCGCGUGUGUGAAGAAGGCCUUCGGGUUGUAAAGCACUUUUGUCCGGAAAGAAAUCCUUGGCUCUAAUACAGUCGGGGGAUGACGGUACCGGAAGAAUAAGCACCGGCUAACUACGUGCCAGCAGCCGCGGUAAUACGUAGGGUGCAAGCGUUAAUCGGAAUUACUGGGCGUAAAGCGUGCGCAGGCGGUUUGCUAAGACCGAUGUGAAAUCCCCGGGCUCAACCUGGGAACUGCAUUGGUGACUGGCAGGCUAGAGUAUGGCAGAGGGGGGUAGAAUUCCACGUGUAGCAGUGAAAUGCGUAGAGAUGUGGAGGAAUACCGAUGGCGAAGGCAGCCCCCUGGGCCAAUACUGACGCUCAUGCACGAAAGCGUGGGGAGCAAACAGGAUUAGAUACCCUGGUAGUCCACGCCCUAAACGAUGUCAACUAGUUGUUGGGGAUUCAUUUCUUAGUAACGUAGCUAACGCGUGAAGUUGACCGCCUGGGG
rnacentral:rRNA from 1 species